AGUGAACACUGGCGGUAGGCCUAACACAUGCAAGUCGAACGGCAGCACAGUAAGAGCUUGCUCUUACGGGUGGCGAGUGGCGGACGGGUGAGGAAUACAUCGGAAUCUACUUUUUCGUGGGGGAUAACGUAGGGAAACUUACGCUAAUACCGCAUACGACCUACGGGUGAAAGCAGGGGAUCUUCGGACCUUGCGCGAUUGAAUGAGCCGAUGUCGGAUUAGCUAGUUGGCGGGGUAAAGGCCCACCAAGGCGACGAUCCGUAGCUGGUCUGAGAGGAUGAUCAGCCACACUGGAACUGAGACACGGUCCAGACUCCUACGGGAGGCAGCAGUGGGGAAUAUUGGACAAUGGGCGCAAGCCUGAUCCAGCCAUACCGCGUGGGUGAAGAAGGCCUUCGGGUUGUAAAGCCCUUUUGUUGAGAAAGAAAAGCAGCAGGUUAAUACCCCGCUGUUCUGACGGUACCAAAAGAAUAAGCACCGGCUAACUUCGUG
rnacentral:rRNA from 1 species